rnacentral:tRNA from 1 species
AUUUAUAUAGUUUAAGAAAAACCCCUCAUUUUCAAUGAGAAAAUAAGAUUUUAUCUUUAUAAAUA